rnacentral:rRNA from 1 species
AGAGUUUGAUCAUGGCUCAGAAUGAACGCUGGCGGCGUGCUUAACACAUGCAAGUCGAACGAGGCGGAAGGGGGCAACUCCUUCCAGUCGAGUGGCGGACGGGUGAGUAACACGUGGGUAACCUGCCCGGAAGUGGGGAAUACCUCGGGGAAACUCGAGCUAAUUCCGCAUGACAUCUUCGGGACGAAAGUCCUGGUGAUCAAAGCGGGGUCGCAAGAUCUCGCGCUACCGGAUGGGCCCGCGCCCGAUUAGCUAGUUGGUGAGGUAACGGCUCACCAAGGCUUCGAUCGGUAACCGGCCUGAGAGGGCGAUCGGUCACACCGGAACUGAGACACGGUCCGGACUCCUACGGGAGGCAGCAGUGGGGAAUCUUGCGCAAUGGGCGAAAGCCUGACGCAGCAACGCCGCGUGGAGGAUGAAGGCCCUUGGGUUGUAAACUCCUGUCGGCUGGGAAGAAGUCAUACGGUGCUAAUACCACCGUGUGUUGACUGUACCAGCAAAGGAAGCCCCGGCUAACUCUGUGCCAGCCGCCGCGGUAAUAC